rnacentral:rRNA from 1 species
UCUGACUUGAGUGCAGAAGGGGAGAGUGGAAUUCCAUGUGUAGCGGUGAAAUGCGUAGAUAUAUGGAGGAACACCAGUGGCGAAAGCGGCUCUNUGGUCUGUCACUGACGCUGAGGCUNGAAAGCGUGGGUAGCGAACAGGAUUAGAUACCCUGGUAGUCCACGCCGUAAACGAUGAGUGCUAGGUGUUAGGCCCUUUCCGGGGCUUAGUGCCGGAGCUAACGCAAUAAGCACUCCGCCUGGGGAGUACGACCGCAAGGUUGAAACUCAAAGGAAUUGACGGGGGCCCGCACAAGCGGUGGAGCAUGUGGUUUAAUUCGAAGCAACGCGAAGAACCUUACCAGGUCUUGACAUCCCGAUGCUAUUCUUAGAGAUAGGAAGUUACUUCGGUACAUCGGAGACAGGUGGUGCAUGGUUGUCGUCAGCUCGUGUCGUGAGAUGUUGGGCUAAGNNNNNNNNCGAGCGCAACCCUUAUUGUUAGUUGCCAUCAUUAAGUUGGGCACUCUAGCGAGACUGCCGGUAAUAAACCGGAGGAAGGUGGGGAUGACGUCAAAUCAUCAUGCCCCUCAUGACCUGGGCUACACACGUGCUACAAUGGUCGGUACAACGAGUUGCGAGCCGGUGACGGCAAGCUAAUCUCUGAAAGCCGAUCUCAGUUCGGAUUGGAGGCUGCAACUCGCCUCCAUGAAGUCGGAAUCGCUAGUAAUCGCGGAUCAGCACGCCGCGGUGAAUACGUUCCCGGGCCUUGUACAC